rnacentral:rRNA from 1 species
AUGAACGCUGGCGGCGUGCCUAAUACAUGCAAGUCGAGCGAACAGAUGAGGAGCUUGCUCCUCUGACGUUAGCGGCGGACGGGUGAGUAACACGUGGAUAACCUACCUAUAAGACUGGGAUAACUUUGGGAAACCGGAGCUAAUACCGGAUAAUAUAUUGAACCGCAUGGUUCAAUAGUGAAAGACGGUUUUGCUGUCACUUAUAGAUGGAUCCGCGCCGCAUUAGCUAGUUGGUAAGGUAACGGCUUACCAAGGCAACGAUGCGUAGCCGACCUGAGAGGGUGAUCGGCCACACUGGAACUGAGACACGGUCCAGACUCCUACGGGAGGCAGCAGUAGGGAAUCUUCCGCAAUGGGCGAAAGCCUGACGGAGCAACGCCGCGUGAGUGAUGAAGGUCUUCGGAUCGUAAAACUCUGUUAUUAGGGAAGAACAAAUGUGUAAGUAACUAUGCACGUCUUGACGGUACCUAAUCAGAAAGCCACGGCUAACUACGUG